GUUCCUCUAGCGAAAUGAAUAACGCGUUGAACUUCUGAUCCAGAGGUCGUGGGUUAGAAUCCCACUUGGGAUG